rnacentral:rRNA from 1 species
ACGAACGCUGGCGGCGUGCCUAAUACAUGCAAGUCGAGCGGAAUGAUGAAGAAGCUUGCUUCUUCUGAUUUUAGCGGCGGACGGGUGAGUAACACGUAGGCAACCAACCCUUAGGAUUGGGAUACUCCCGAGAAAUCGGGAACAAUACCGAAUAUGAUUCCGGGGUGAAAUUCCCUGGGAUAAAAGCUGCGAGCAAUCGUGGCGCCUGAGGAUGGGCCUGCGGCCUAUCAGCUAGUUGGUGAGGUAAUGGCUCACCAAGGCAGAGACGGGUAGCCGGACUGAGAGGUUGAACGGCCACACUGGAACUGAGAUACGGUCCAGACUCCUACGGGAGGCAGCAGUGAGGAAUUUUGCGCAAUGGGCGAAAGCCUGACGCAGCGACACCGCGUGGGGGAAGAAGGCUCUCGGGUUGUAAACUCCUUUCGUGAGGGAAAAAGUCCCGAGCAAUCGGGAUGAUGGUACCUCAGGAAGAAGCCACGGCUAACUCUGUG